CAGCAGACUCUCUGUCUUGGCUAGACGGACUGAGAGACUGGGAUAGGAGGCAGCAGACUCUCUGUCUUGACUAGACGGACUGAGAGACUGGGAUAGGAGGCAGCAGACUCUCUGUCUUGGCUAGACGGACUGAGAGACUGGGAUAGGAGGCAGCAGACUCUCUGUCUUGGCUAGACGGACUGAGAGACUGGGAUAGGAGGCAGCAGACUCUCUGUCUUGGCUAGACGGACUGAGAGACUGGGAUAGAAGGCAGCAGACUCUCUGUCUUGGCCAGACGGACUGAGAGACUGGGAUAGGAGGCAGCAGACUCUCUGUCUUGGCUAGACGGACUGAGAGACUGGGAUAGGAGGCAGCAGACUCUGUCUUGGCUAGACGGACUGAGAGACUGGGAUAGGAGGCAGCAGACUCUCUGUCUUGGCUAGACGGACUGAGAGACUGGGAUAGGAUGCAGCAGACUCUCUGUCUUGGCUAGACGGACUGAGAGACUGGGAUACGAGGCAGCAGACCAGACGGACUGAGAGACUGGGAUAGGAGGCAGCAGACUCUGUCUUGGCUAGACGCACUGAGAGACUGGGAUAGGAUGCAGCAGACUCUGUCUUGGCCAGACGGACUGAGAGACUGGGAUUGGAGGUAGCAGAGCUCUAUCUCUAUGGCUGUGUCUGAAGUGGCAACUUAGUCCCUAUAUUUUGCACUACUUUAGACCAGAGCUCAUAGGGAAUAGAAUGUAACCCAGAGACAGCCCAUAUUAACAUGUGUAGAAUGUAACCCAGAGACGCCAGGGUUCUGUCGAGGGUUGAGACUCCGCCAGGGUUCUGUCGAGGGUUGAGACUCCGCCAGGGUUCUGUCGAGGGUUGAGACUCCGCCAGGGUUCUGUCGAGGGUUGAGACUCCGCCAGGGUUCUGUCGAGGGUUGAGACUCCGCCAGGGUUCUGUCGAGGGUUGAGACUCCGCCAGGGUUCUGUCGAGGGUUGAGACUCCGCCAGGGUUCUGUCGAGGGUUGAGACUCCGCCAGGGUUCUGUCGAGGGUUGAGACUCCGCCAGGGUUCUGUCGAGGGUUGAGCCUCCGCCAGGGUUCUGUCGAGGGUUGAGACUCCGCCAGGGUUCUGUCGAGGGUUGAGACUCCGCCAGGGUUCUGUCGAGGGUUGAGACUCCGCCAGGGUUCUGUCGAGGGUUGAGCCUCCGCCAGGGUUCUGUCGAGGGUUGAGACUCCGCCAGGGUUCUGUCGAGGGUUGAGACUCCGCCAGGGUUCUGUCGAGGGUUGAGACUCCGCCAUGAAUGUCUGAAUCUCACAACUCAAGAGGAAUGGUGAACAAAAUGAUAAUCCCAAAUGGCCCCCUUUUCCCCAUAGGGCCCUGGUCUAAAGUAGUGCACUGUGUAGGGAAUAGGGAGACCCAUAGGGCCCUGGUCUAAAGUAGUGCACUGUGUAGGGAAUAGGGAGACCCAUAGGGCCCUGGUCUAAAGUAGUGCACUGUGUAGGGAAUAGGGAGACCCAUAGGGCCCUGGUCUAAAGUAGUGCACUGUGUAGGGAAUAGGGAGACCCAUAGGGCCCUGGUCUAAAGUAGUGCACUGUGUAGGGAAUAGGGAGACCCAUAGGGCCCUGGUCUAAAGUAGUGCACUGUGUAGGGAAUAGGGAGACCCAUAGGGCUCUGGUCUAAAGUAGUGCACUGUGUAGGGAAUAGGGAGACCCAUAGGGCCCUGGUCUAAAGUAGUGCACUGUGUAGGGAAUAGGGAGACCCAUGGGGCCCUGGUCUAAAGUAGUGCACUGUGUAGGGAAUAGGGAGACCCAUAGGGCCCUGGUCUAAAGUAGUGCACUGUGUAGGGAAUAGGGAGACCCAUAGGGCCCUGGUCUAAAGUAGUGCACUGUGUAGGGAAUAGGAUGCAUCUUGAGACACAACCAGUAUGUGACAUUGGAUUUUAAAACCAGCAGCAAGAUGUCUAGAUGAGGAUUGGGUCUAUUGCCACUUUAUUUGUUUGCCUUUCUAAUGUUUAUUACAUUGUUAGAUAGUUAUUAUUAUAACAUUGUUAUAACUGUGAAUAUGAUUACUAUAUUGUAUAAUUUGUAAUCAAUUACUUUUAUUUUAAUGUCUGACAUUUUGACAAUAAACAAUGUUUAACUUGA